rnacentral:rRNA from 1 species
UACGGAGGGAGCUAGCGUUGUUCGGAAUUACUGGGCGUAAAGCGCACGUAGGCGGCUCAGCAAGUCAGGGGUGAAAUCCCGGGGCUCAACCCCGGAACUGCCCUUGAAACUGCUAAGCUAGAAUCUUGGAGAGGCGAGUGGAAUUCCGAGUGUAGAGGUGAAAUUCGUAGAUAUUCGCAAGAACACCAGUGGCGAAGGCGGCUCACUGGCCCGAUACUGACGCUGAGGCACGAAAGCGUGGGGAGCAAACAGG